rnacentral:rRNA from 1 species
GACGAACGCUGGCGGCGUGCCUAAUACAUGCAAGUCGAACGCAGUGGGGACGGGUGAGUAACACGUGGGUAACCUCCCAUCAGAGGGGAUAACACUUGGAAACAGGUGCUAAACCGAUACUGAUGGAUGGACCCGCGGGGCAUUAGCUAGUGGGUGAGGUAACGGCUCACCAGGGCCACGAUGCAUAGCCGCGCUGAGAGGAUGAGCGGCCACACUGGGACUGAGACACGGCCCAGACUCCUACGGGAGGCAGCAGUGGGGAAUCUUCGGCAAUGGACGAAAGUCUGACCGAGCAACGCCGCGUGUGUGAAGAAGGUUUUCGGGUCGUAAAGCUCUGUUGUUGGGGAAGCGGUAUCUGACCAGAAAGCCACGGCUAACUACGUGCCAGCAGCCGCGGUAAUUC